UACGGAGGGUGCAAGCGUUAAUCGGAAUUACUGGGCGUAAAGGGUGCGUAGGUGGCUUUAUAAGUUAGGCGUGAAAUCCCCGGGCUCAACCUGGGAAUUGCAUUCGAGACUGCGUAGCUAGGGUACGGAAGAGGGAGGCGGAAUUUCAGGUGUAGCGGUGAAAUGCGUAGAUAUCUGAAGGAACACCAGUGGCGAAAGCGGCCUCCUGGUCCAGUACCGACGUUCAGGCACGAAAGCGUGGGGAGCAAACAGG
rnacentral:rRNA from 1 species